AUUGAACGCUGGCGGCAGGCCUAACACAUGCAAGUCGAGCAGAUGAAGGGAGCUUGCUCCUGGAUUCAGCGGCGGACGGGUGAGUAAUGCCUAGGAAUCUGCCUGGUAGUGGGGGAUAACGUCCGGAAACGGGCGCUAAUACCGCAUACGUCCUGAGGGAGAAAGUGGGGGAUCUUCGGACCUCACGCUAUCAGAUGAGCCUAGGUCGGAUUAGCUAGUUGGUGGGGUAAAGGCCUACCAAGGCGACGAUCCGUAACUGGUCUGAGAGGAUGAUCAGUCACACCGGAACUGAGACACGGUCCAGACUCCUACGGGAGGCAGCAGUGGGGAAUAUUGGACAAUGGGCGAAAGCCUGAUCCAGCCAUGCCGCGUGUGUGAAGAAGGUCUUCGGAUUGUAAAGCACUUUAAGUUGGGAGGAAGGGCAGUAAGUUAAUACCUUGCUGUUUUGACGUUACCAACAGAAUAAGCACCGGCUAACUUCGUG
rnacentral:rRNA from 1 species